GCCUACAGCCAUACCACCCUUAACAGGCUCGAUCUCGUUGAUCUCGGAAGCUAAGCAGGGUUGGGCCUGGUUAGUAUUUGGAUGGGGUUCUGCCUGGGAAUACCGGGUGCUGUAGGCU
rnacentral:rRNA from 1 species